rnacentral:miRNA from 1 species
AGUGGGUGAUGGUUGCUGUAGCUG